UUGAAAAACUUUGGUCUAGAGAAGAGGUUUCCUCUGGAUGUCUUCAUAAAGAGGCUGUAUAUCCUGCUGGGGAUAUUUUAGCUGGAGAUUCUGCACUGAGCAAAGGUUGGACCUGAUGGGCCAUGAAGCCUAUGAUUCUAUUAUACUAAAGUAAUCUGAGAGAUGGUCAACUACUUUCUGUUUAAAAGCCUCCAAAGAAAGAGAUUCUGUUAAAGUGUAUAGAAAACUGGAUCGAUAGAGCUGCCUGCCUUUUUGGACUCCCUUUAUGGACGCAGCCGUGGGGGACGUGCUGUUCCUCCGAAUUGCCACUCCACAUCAGGCCAACCUCUACCAUGUCUCCAAAGUAUUCAGCUAAGCAACAACAGGCAAAACAAAAACAAGCUCCUUGGAAAUGAUGAGG